rnacentral:rRNA from 1 species
GGACGGAGGUGCAAGCGUUAUCCGGAAUGAUUGGGCGUAAAGCGUCCGCAGGUGGCACUUCAAGUCUGCUGUCAAAGACCGGGGCUUAACCCCAGAAAGGCAGUGGAAACUGAAGUGCUAGAGUGCAGUAGGGGUAGAGGGAAUUCCCGGUGUAGCGGUGAAAUGCGGUAGAGAUCGGGAAGAACAUCGGUGGCGAAAGCGCUCUGACCGUGGACUGCAACUGACACUCGAGGGACGAAAGCUAGGGGAGCGAAUGGG